rnacentral:lncRNA from 1 species
GUGGAUCAAAUAGAACCACGGGGCCAUGUUGGAAAAGAAGCCAUCUUAGAACCAGAGUCUGAGCGGUGGAAGGUGAAGACGCAGCAGAGAGCCGCCGGCAGCAGAGGUGCAGAGGACGUCUCCCCCAGCAGCUGGUGGUGAGGCCCGGCUCCACGUCCAGCAGGCUCCGCCUGACCAGCCGGGCAGCCAGAGGAGCUCUGGACACCUACAGCACAAACUGACAGACGAUCCAGAGCGGCAGAUUAUCUGGGCAGAAUGAGCAAUCAGACACAUUAUUCCAAAACAGACCCAGUGACCACAGCAGUGACCACAAACUGGCGGCGGAGACGGGCUGUCAGAGAAAAACCUGGCAAGCUGCAGGAAACAGACUGAGCGAGUGCUGCCAGCAGAACACAAUGCUGCAGCCUGCACCCAGACAGAACCGAGGUCUCCAGCAGAACAACGUGCACGUACCAGAACGUGACAGACACAGGCUGUGUUCAGGUGGAGCGGCUCGGCCCCGUUCACAGUGACACGUGUUCUCUGAGCUGUUUACAGCCGUCCAUCAACAUUUAACCACACAUGUAACAGAGCGCUAAACUCUGACUUUAAUAAUAACCACAAAUCCAUGGAGGAUCUCUGAUUUGUGUUCUGUUGCCUAGCAACCCUGGAAGCUACACGUGAUGCUAACAUAAAGGUGUGUACUCCUGGCUGUUACAGUUUGAGGAGGCGACCAUGUUCCACUGUGACACCAGGAAGAAGAACAGCGCUGUGAUGUAGCUGUGGAUCAGAACCCUGAACGGACUCACACCUCCGUACAGCAGCCAUAUAUAAAGAUGGACGACCUGACGUGGUGGCAGGCUCCGCCCUGUGUUCUGUCGAAGUCAUGUCAACCUGACUGGGAGACCAGGGGCAGCGUGAAAGUCGCCUUCACUGCAGCAGCCUGCGGUUACAGCUGGACGCAGCGAGAGGCCAGCGGAGGCGCUGUGUUUGUGUGACACACUAAAAGUAGGCGUCAGCAGGGACAGAGCUGAGGACACCGCGGCCUCACCGCACACUUCAGGAGCUCAUCGUUAGUCUCUUCACUUCCUGCUGAUUAAACAGAUUAAUUAAUCUGAUUAGAUGAUCCACACGUGUGAGGAAGGGGGCGCUGUUGUCCUCCUCCAGACCUGUGUGACAUCAUUAGAUUUUACUCUUUGUUCAUGUGUGUGUGUGAGACGCUGGCAUUUAAAUACUUUAUCAACAGCUAUUAUGCUAACAAUGCUAACAACCUGAUCUGCAGCUAGCAGUUUAAUUAGCUCCCUGUGUAGCAGUCAGUCCAAAAGACUUUACUUUAACUAAACUACUUUUAUAUUUCAGACCUAAAAACAUAUAAAUAAUCCUUAUUAAUCCAUGUCCAGAUUUAAAGCAUAGGUGUAUGAGAAACAACUAGAAACCUUCUCUACCAACCUAGCUGCUAUGCUAACAAUGCUAAAAGCCUGGUCUGCAGGCAGCUAGCACUUCAGUUAGCUUGCUAUGUAGCGGUUUGAUCAGCAGGUCUUCAGCAACUCUUAAAAAAUGGAAGAAUUGCAUUUUUUUGUUUCAGAGAUCAGCUGAUAAAUGGAUUUAUUAUUGUAGCGUUUCACACAUUUACAUUCAUCAUAGUGUGUGUUACGUGUGUGUGUGUGUGUAACAGCAAUCAAAGCCUGAAAUCACUAGCACUAGCAGCUAGCGCUAACAUGAGGACUGUAGUUUUAGACAUUUAGUGUUUGGAUUCCGAGGGGAGAAGUGAA